GAUGAACGCUGGCGGCGUGCCUAAUACAUGCCAGUCAAGCGAACAGACGAGGAGCUUGCUCCUCUGACGUUAGCGGCGGACGGGUGAGUAACACGUGGAUAACCUACCUAUAAGACUGGGAUAACUUCGGGAAACCGGAGCUAAUACCGGAUAAUAUAUUGAACCGCAUGGUUCAAUAGUGAAAGACGGUUUUGCUGUCACUUAUAGAUGGAUCCGCGCCGCAUUAGCUAGUUGGUAAGGUAACGGCUUACCAAGGCAACGAUGCGUAGCCGACCUGAGAGGGUGAUCGGCCACACUGGAACUGAGACACGGUCCAGACUCCUACGGGAGGCAGCAGUAGGGAAUCUUCCGCAAUGGGCGAAAGCCUGACGGAGCAACGCCGCGUGAGUGAUGAAGGUCUUCGGAUCGUAAAACUCUGUUAUUAGGGAAGAACAAAUGUGUAAGUAACUAUGCACGUCUUGACGGUACCUAAUCAGAAAGCCACGGCUAACUACGUG
rnacentral:rRNA from 1 species